ACUUGUCUCACGGAGCCAGAACUUCACGAGGGAAGUGACGCUGAACAACAUUAUCACGACAAACGUACUCCGUUGAAGGGAAGGUUAACGGGUAUUACUUGCCUGACGAAGUACUGACCACCAUGAAGCAAAUUCCAGGGCAGACCGUGACAGGUUCCAUGACUAUAGCGACCCCUGUGGAGGUCCUGAAACAGGUUCAUGUUACAGGACUGACUGGAAAUCAGGAAAAUUGGAUUGACUUUGUCUGAGCAAGUCGUCUACCUCAAUGACAGCGCCGAAAUCCAAGGCUCUCUAACCUUCAGCAAGCCACUCCGGGCAGCCCACGUGUCCAGUUCCAGCAGUGUGUUGGGCGGGGUGGACGUUCAAGAACUCUUUACCAAGGCCUGGUACGUCGACGCCCCGCUCUUAUCACUGCGGAUC